rfam:Gorilla gorilla gorilla genomic chromosome, chr7, whole genome shotgun sequence
CCAAAGGCUCUUUUCAGAGUCAUCAUUAUUCCUGAUGACUAAAAAG